GAGCUCUGGAACUGGGAUGAUCCUUCAGAGCUAGACCUUUCUUCCUAUUCAUCUAACAGUGAUUGGAUAUGGGGAGCUGUCUAUAGGAAGCGGGGGUGAUCUUGGGUGAGAAUGCUCUCUUCUGCUGAGAACAACUGCCAGAGGACUCAACUGAGCACCUUUAACCAUUAGCUGAGGCUUCUUAGCAGUCUGCCAUAGCAACUCAAGUAAUGCAACUUUACUCAGCAUGGACCGUCACUUUCUCCAGACUUCUAAGAGAUGCCAUAGCAGAAAAUUUAUGCCUUUCCCUGCAGUCCUUGUCAAGUGUUAAAUCCCAUGGCCUUAUAUCCUGAGAGGAUGGCUCUAAAUCAAUAAACUCUCCUUUAUCUAGUUUCAUGUCCUGCCUCCUUGAUCAAAACUCUUAAAACCAGUCAUUUAUCCAAAUAUGCUGGCUAAUCAUUGAAGCUCUUUUGGGGGUAUAGUGUCUUUCCUCACCACUCAGGUCUGGUAUAACCUUGAGUUGCUUUUGAUAUAAUUUAACCCAAAGUUUGGGCCUGGCAUUUAGGAGAUGAGAUGAGGGAAAAUCCUGAAGAUGAC
rnacentral:lncRNA from 10 species